CAGAGUGUAAAAACUCCCAACCCUUGUGAACGUACCUUGAAGUUGCUUCGGCGGGAUCCCGGCUCCUUGCCCGGGAGUCAGGCCCGCCGGAGGAAUCCAAACUCUUGUUUUUUACGAGUAUCUUCUGAGUAGCGUUUAUAAAUAAGUA
rnacentral:misc_RNA from 1 species